AGCUGCACGGCCAGCUCCCUCAGACUCCCCCAGGUCUUAACCGAAGCAAGGGUAUGAGGUUGUAGCGGCGCGAUGUAGCUUUCUU
rnacentral:SRP_RNA from 1 species